GACGAACGCUGGCGGCGUGCUUAACACAUGCAAGUCGAACGGUAAGGCCCUUCGGGGUACACGAGUGGCGAACGGGUGAGUAACACGUGGGUGAUCUGCCCUGCACUUUGGGAUAAGCCUGGGAAACUGGGUCUAAUACCGAAUACACCCUGCUGGUCGCAUGGCCUGGUGGGGGAAAGCUUUUGCGGUGUGGGAUGGGCCCGCGGCCUAUCAGCUUGUUGGUGGGGUGAUGGCCUACCAAGGCGACGACGGGUAGCCGGCCUGAGAGGGUGUCCGGCCACACUGGGACUGUGAUACGGCCCAGACUCCUACAGGAGGCAGCAGUGGGGAAUAUUGCACAAUGGGCGCAAGCCUGAUGCAGCGACGCCGCGUGAGGGAUGACGGCCUUCGGGUUGUAAACCUCUUUCAAUAGGGACGAAGCGCAAGUGACGGUACCUAUAGAGGAAGCACCGGCCAACUACGUGCCAGCAGCCGCGGUAAUACGUAGGGUGCGAGCGUUGUCCGGAAUUACUGGGCGUAAAGAGCUCGUAGGUGGUUUGUCGCGUUGUUCGUGAAAACUCACAGCUUAACUGUGGGCGUGCGGGCGAUACGGGCAGACUGGAGUACUGCAGGGGAGACUGGAAUUCCUGGUGUAGCGGUGGAAUGCGCAGAUAUCAGGAGGAACACCGGUGGCGAAGGCGGGUCUCUGGGCAGUAACUGACGCUGAGGAGCGAAAGCGUGGGGAGCGAACAGGAUUAGAUACCCUGGUAGUCCACGCCGUAAACGGUGGGUACUAGGUGUGGGUUUCCUUCCUUGGGAUCCGUGCCGUAGCUAACGCAUUAAGUACCCCGCCUGGGGAGUACGGCCGCAAGGCUAAAACUCAAAGAAAUUGACGGGGGCCCGCACAAGCGGCGGAGCAUGUGGAUUAAUUCGAUGCAACGCGAAGAACCUUACCUGGGUUUGACAUGCACAGGACGCCGGCAGAGAUGUCGGUUCCCUUGUGGCCUGUGUGCAGGUGGUGCAUGGCUGUCGUCAGCUCGUGUCGUGAGAUGUUGGGUUAAGUCCCGCAACGAGCGCAACCCUUGUCUCAUGUUGCCAGCACGUUAUGGUGGGGACUCGUGAGAGACUGCCGGGGUCAACUCGGAGGAAGGUGGGGAUGACGUCAAGUCAUCAUGCCCCUUAUGUCCAGGGCUUCACACAUGCUACAAUGGCCGGUACAAAGGGCUGCGAUGCCGUGAGGUGGAGCGAAUCCUUUCAAAGCCGGUCUCAGUUCGGAUCGGGGUCAGCAACUCGACCCCGUGAAGUCGGAGUCGCUAGUAAUCGCAGAUCAGCAACGCUGCGGUGAAUACGUUCCCGGGCCU
rnacentral:rRNA from 1 species